UACGUAGGGUGCGAGCGUUAAUCGGAAUUACUGGGCUUAAAGCGUGCGCAGGCGGCUUCGCAAGUCAGGCGUGAAAUCCCCGGGCUUAACCUGGGAAUGGCGUCUGAAACUACGGAGCUGGAGUGUGGCAGAGGGAGGUAGAAUUCCACGUGUAGCGGUGAAAUGCGUAGAUAUGUGGAGGAAUACCGAUGGCGAAGGCAGCCUCCUGGGCCAACACUGACGCUCAUGCACGAAAGCGUGGGGAGCAAACAGG
rnacentral:rRNA from 1 species